GAAGUAGGUCCCAAGGGUAUGGCUGUUCGCCAUUUAAAGUGGUACGCGAGCUGGGUUUAGAACGUCGUGAGACAGUUCGGUCCCUAUCUGCCGUGGGCGCUGGAGAAUUGAGGGGGGCUGCUCCUAGUACGAGAGGACCGGAGUGGACGCAUCACUGGUGUUCGGGUUGUCAUGCCAAUGGCACUGCCCGGUAGCUAAAUGCGGAAGAGAUAAGUGCUGAAAGCAUCUAAGCACGAAACUUGCCCCGAGAUGAGUUCUCCCUGAGACUUUAAGUCUCCUGAAGGAACGUUGAAGACGACGACGUUGAUAGGCCGGGUGUGUAAGCGCAGCGAUGCGUUGAGCUAACCGGUACUAAUGAACCGUGAGGCUUAACCUUACAACGCCGAAG
rnacentral:rRNA from 1 species